rnacentral:rRNA from 1 species
CCUGGCUCAGAACGAACGCUGGCGGCAUGCCUAACACAUGCAAGUCGAACGAGACCUUCGGGUCUAGUGGCGCACGGGUGCGUAACGCGUGGGAACCUGCCUUUAGGUUCGGAAUAACAGUGAGAAAUUACUGCUAAUACCGGAUAAUGUCUUCGGACCAAAGAUUUAUCGCCUUUAGAUGGGCCCGCGUUGGAUUAGCUAGUUGGUGGGGUAAAGGCCUACCAAGGCGACGAUCCAUAGCUGGUCUGAGAGGAUGAUCAGCCACACUGGGACUGAGACACGGCCCAGACUCCUACGGGAGGCAGCAGUGGGGAAUAUUGGACAAUGGGCGAAAGCCUGAUCCAGCAAUGCCGCGUGAGUGAUGAAGGCCUUAGGGUUGUAAAGCUCUUUUACCCGAGAUGAUAAUGACAGUAUCGGGAGAAUAA